UCACCAUCAAUAGGGAGCUCGUAGGCGGGCUGAGAGGAAGUAAUCUAACUUCGACCUUUAUAACCUGAUUUGGAUAAUGCCAACGUAGGGAUCAUACAAGACGGAUA
rnacentral:ncRNA from 2 species